UUGUUCCCCCCUCUUAAAUAAAGCCAAACAAAUAUAUUAUUCCCUCUUCCAUAAUAAAAUUGAGCCGCAUCAAAAAUAAAAACUCAUUUCUUCUUUUUGCUCAUACGAUUGAUCUCCCUUCUCCUUCUUUCUUGCUGUUGCAUUGCCAUCCGGCCGACUAACGUCCAAGGCUGUGUUUCUUUAUCCUCUAGGUUCGACAGUAGAGAGAGAGAGAGAGAGAGAGAGAGAGAGAGAGAGAGAGAGAGAGAGAGAGAGAGAAGAGAGAGAGAGAAGAGAGAGAGAGAAGAGAGAGAGAGAGAGAGAGAGAGAGAGAGAGAGAGGUGGAAGUGGAGCGAUGAUUUUCGACCAUGCCGAGUCAUUUCUGGCAAUUUCAAUCAAUAAGUUUAGCUAUUGACUGCCUUGGAAUAGAUCCAAGUUCACAAUUCUUCACUCUGCUAAAAUGGAUGAAGUUGUUAUUGGAAGCGUGAUCAUCUCAGACUACUUUUGCUAUGGAACAUAGCUGCGAAUAAGAGUAUAAUGAUUCCAGCUUAUGGGAAUAUAAUCCCAGCCUUGGCACAGUCCCCCAUUAUUGGAAUGGUAGCUUCUGCAAGUCAUGGGAGCUCUGUUAAGCUAUUGAAAUAGAAGUCAUUAGCUUUGCAGAAAUCUGUGAAGCAAGCAAUGACAUGUGGGUUAGUCGGUACGCAAUAUCUUUUUUAAUCCUACAUAAAUGUAGUAAUUGCUAAAUGCGUAAUUUGUAGUGCACUUUUUAUGAUUCUAUUUGGUUGAAGGUUUUGAGAAUCAAGAAGCAGGUGGAGCAGUUUGUUUGGCAGAACAUUUGAUAGUAGGACUCCUAAUUGGCAAUAGAUCAUGUGUACAGGAAUCCAAUUCUGAUAUAUAUUGUUUGAACUUUUUUU